CAUACAUCUGCCCAUACCAUAACCCCACCGCCACCAUGGGCCACUCUACCAACAAUGUUGACAUCAGCAAACCGCUGACCAACACUAUGCCAUACAUGCUGUCUGCCAUCUGCCCUGUACAGUGAAAACCGGGAUUCAUCCGUGAAGAGAACACCUCUCCAAAGUGCCAGACGCCAUAGAAUGUGAGCAUUUUCCCCACUCAAGUCGGUUACAACCACAAACUGCAGUCAGGUCGAGACCCGGACAAGAACGAUGAGCUUCCCUGAGACGGUUUCUGUUUGUGCAGAAAUUCUUUGGUUAUGCAAAAAGAUUGUCGCAGCAGCUGUCCAGGUGGCUGGUCUCAGACGAUCUUGGAGGUGAAGAUGCUGCAUGUGGAGGUCCUGGGCUGGUGUGGUUACAUG